UACGUAGGGUGCGAGCGUUGUCCGGAAUUAUUGGGCGUAAAGGGCUUGUAGGCGGCCAACUAAGUCCGACGUGAAAUCCCCAGGCUUAACCUGGGAACUGCGUCGGAUACUGGAUGGCUUGAAUUCGGGAGAGGGAUGCAGAAUUCCAGGUGUAGCGGUGAAAUGCGUAGAUAUCUGGAGGAAUACCGGUGGCGAAGGCGGCAUCCUGGACCGACAUUGACGCUGAGGAGCGAAAGCUAGGGGAGCAAACGGG
rnacentral:rRNA from 1 species